GAUGAACGCUGGCGGCGUGCCUAAUACAUGCCAGUCGAGCGAACGGAUGAGAAGCUUGCUUCUCUGAUGUUAGCGGCGGACGGGUGAGUAACACGUGGAUAACCUACCUAUAAGACUGGGAUAACUUCGGGAAACCGUAGCUAAUACCGGAUAAUAUUUUGAACCGCAUGGUUCAAAAGUGAAAGACGGUCUUGCUGUCACUUAUAGAUGGAUCCGCGCUGCAUUAGCUAGUUGGUAAGGUAACGGCUUACCAAGGCAACGAUGCAUAGCCGACCUGAGAGGGUGAUCGGCCACACUGGAACUGAGACACGGUCCAGACUCCUACGGGAGGCAGCAGUAGGGAAUCUUCCGCAAUGGGCGAAAGCCUGACGGAGCAACGCCGCGUGAGUGAUGAAGGUCUUCGGAUCGUAAAACUCUGUUAUUAGGGAAGAACAUAUGUGUAAGUAACUGUGCACAUCUUGACGGUACCUAAUCAGAAAGCCACGGCUAACUACGUG
rnacentral:rRNA from 1 species